ensembl:lncRNA
GCUGUCAACCACCGCCCGGCCGGGCACCCCUCCGAGGUGCAGACGCCAGGUGAAGCGGGCACGGGACAGCAUGCCGUGCUCCUCCGGCAUCCUUGGGUGGUGCCAGGCAUCGGUAGGGGCUACGGAACACCCCGGGGCUGACUGCCUGUAGGCAGAGCAGGGAGUGAGCAGAGAAAGACAGAGCUGCACCCAGCGCGAGCAGCCAUCAGUAGGUUUCAGAGCAAACAAGUGCAGGCUUCCAUCUUCCUCCUCCGUUUGUGCCAGGGAUGCCCGGUGCUCCCUUAGCUCCCUUCUCCCCCGGUACCUCCGCACCAUCCCGGCUGCUCCUCACCUCCUCACCUCCCCCAUCCCAACGGCCUGAUUUGCACCGCUCUCUUCCAGCUGAGCCGCCCUUCGAGGCGCUCCCGGCCGUGACGGGGGCAGCAGUGAUGGGGAUGCUGGUGGCCACCUCCAUGUCUCUGCUGGCUGUGCACUACAUCGCUCGCCAUCGGGACCGCCUGCCACGGCUGCACGAGCUGCUGUUCCGCAUGGCUGGCCCCGAUGCCCCACAGCUUGCCGAGGAUGCCAACGUGGCCGUGAGCACGGAGGAUGGAGGACAGGGACAGGAGGAGCCGGGUGGCCUCAGCACAGCAGCCAUGGAAGGUAGAGGGAGGGCAGAGCCACCAGCAUGGUGGUACAGCCUGGCGCCACUGAGGCUCUCCAUCCCGUCCCAUUGCAGAAGAGCCACGCUCAGCCCCACCAGGUGA